CCUACGGGGGGCUGCAGUGGGGGAUAUUGCACAAUGGGGGAAAGCCUGAUGCAGCAACGCCGCGUGUGGGAAGAAGGUGUUCGGAUUGUAAACCCCUGUUCUUGGUGAAGAUAAUGACGGUAACCCAGGAGACAGCUCCGUCUAACUACGUACAGGCAGCCGCGGUAAUACGUAGGGAGCAAGCGUUGUCCGGAUUUACUGGGUGUAAAGGGUGCGUAGGCGGUCUAGCAGGUCAGACGUGAAAACCACAGGCUCAACCUGUGGACGGCGUUUGAAACUGUGGGGCUUGAGUGAAGUAGAGGUAGGCGGAAUUCCCGGUGUAGCGGUGAAAUGCGUAGAGAUCGGGAGGAACACCAGUUGCGAAGGCGGCCUACUGUGCUUUAACUGACGCUGAGGCACGAAAGCAUGGGUAGCAAACAGGAUUAGAUACCCUUGUAGUC
rnacentral:rRNA from 1 species